GACAGAGGGUGCAAACGUUGUUCGGAAUUACUGGGCGUAAAGCGCGUGUAGGCGGCAGCGUGUGUCGGGCGUGAAAUCCCAUGGCUCAACCAUGGAAGUGCACCCGAAACUGCGCAGCUAGAGUCCUGGAGAGGAAGGUGGAAUACUUGGUGUAGAGGUGAAAUUCGUAGAUAUCAAGUGGAACACCGGUGACGAAGGCGGCCUUCUGGACAGUGACUGACGCUGAGACGCGAAAGCGUGGGGAGCAAACAGG
rnacentral:rRNA from 1 species